ensembl:lncRNA
CGGCGGCCGGCCCGCUUCGGACGGGGCUGCCUUGUGGCGGGGGGGGUUUCCCCGCGGGGAGAUGGCGCUGCGCUGCCAGUGACAAACGCGCAGGCUGCUCCGCGGUGAGACCUGCGGGCUGCCGAGUUCCAGCGCCCGAGGGAAGAAUAGUUGCUCUGUAGCUGCUGUGCUGCAGGCGGGAGGAUGACAGCGGCUUGUGAGAGCACGUCCAGGGACGGAGCUUGCGGCUGCGUAGCGCCCGGGUAGAGCCUAGUGCUGGCCGCAGGGCCGCACUGCCCCGACGGUGCAGCCUUGCAGCCCGGGGCCGGUCUGCGUUUGCUCAUGGCAGAGCUGGAGCUGUAGGUCACGGAGGUGGGUGCUGAGAAGCUGAUGUGAGAGCCACUUGCUUCCCAGGUGUCCAGCUAGCUGAAUGCCAGCUGGUUGAGGCACGCCAGGCACGCUUCUGGGUCGUAGAAUGACUGAAUCACAGGAUGGUCUGGUUUGAAAAAGACCUCACGGAUUACACGGUUCCGACCCCCUGCUGUGUGCAGGAUUGCCAACCAGCAGACCAGGCUGCCCAGAGCCACAUCCAACCUGGCAUGGGUCAUACCUUUGGUUUAGUUUCAUCUGAAGGGAUUCGGCUUGUGCAUGCCAAGGCCUCUGGAUAAACUCCUUUGCUGUGAGGGUGGGUGGCCAAAUGCUGAAGGGGCUCCCAGCAAAGUGGAUGGUGCCCCAUGGGUGCUCAGGAGGCCUCUGGGCAAUGCCCUCCUCAACGUGCUCCAACUCCUCCUGGCCUUGACGUGGUUGGGCAGUUGGGCUCAGCCUUUGUAGAUCCCUUCCGAGUGAACUACGCUGAUAGCCCGGCUCAAGCAAGGGAAUAAUAUGUAAGAUGGGUUAUGAUUUCCUUGUUUUUCUGCCUCAGUUGCUCACAGCCAUCGUGAAGAUUUGCCACACUUCUUGCUCAAGCAUGGAGUACAGUCUGCUGAGAGCCACGCUGAACUCCUGGUGGAUUUGCACAGAUGGCACGAGGCUGCUGUGACGGUGAAGAUGGAUCGUCCAUUGAAGGAAUGCCUUAAAACUGCCUCACGUUUGCCACGUGGUUCUCCUGGCAUUUUGCAGUGCGGCGCUAGCAGAUGAGCGUUGUUUUGGGUGCUUGUUGUCUCCUGCAGUAAUCAAGCCUUUAAGAGAAUAAAUGGCUACCGCCUGACAGCCUCCCGUUUCAGUAAUAGUAUUUGUAACGAGGUGUUUCAUUGCUUCUGAGAGAGUUUUUACAGUUUAAAAUGGGUACAGAGGAGAGAUGUAUUAAGCGUUCAGCAUCUGACACUUUCUGAUUUCUGGUGGUACGAGCAUUGGCAGUAAUUCCAGCACUUCCUUUCAGCCGCAUGGCAUUUUAGUGCACUGUGAUUUAUGGCAGUGAUACAGAAAUAUUUCAUAUCCAAACUGCUCUAGUAUAUCAUGUUAUACAGGUAAAAAGAAUUCUGGGCAUGACAUACAUAAUAAGAAUGCUUUAUGGGCCUGUAGGCACUUUCAUCAAUGUUAACUGCUUGACAGUUGCCAGAAUGAAACUUGAGGUGAGUAUUGUGUUCUGUAAGGCUGCAGGAGCUGAGCUUUUAUCUUUAUUUCCUCGCUUUGAAAUGGGUCUGUGAUUCUCAGAUCUGAACGACUGGACGUGUGUCAUCAUUACCAGCCUCAGCCUCGGUCCAUACUGUUUCAGAAGUACUUCUCUCGAGUUCUGAUCUAUCGUGGGUAGAGCCAUAUAUCUGAAGCCAAACUUUAAUCCCAUAAAGACUUAAGAAAUGACACCACUUCAUCUUGGGCACUGUCUGCGUUAUAAUAAAGUUAAAAGCUGUAGAGUAGCAGGGCAGUGGUGAUGGCGUGCAGCUCUAAGAGACCACAGUUAAAAAAGACAGCAGUUUGAGGUCCACGAACUGUAAGUCACUGUAUAUGGCCUCCAUGAAUAAUGAAGAAAUAAGUUUAUGGGGAGUUUUGUUUGCUUUUUUUUUUUUUUUUUUUUUUUUUGUCUUUUCCUUUGUGUAACUUCAGAAAAAUUGAGUGUACCAUAGCUGCUGUCUCUUCUAUUAAAUCACUUGUAAAAUGGCUUAGACUUCUCCUGUCAUCCGGUGCACUUAUGCAAAAUGAAUGCGUCCUAUGCUCUAGAUAAGUGUCUUCCUUUGGCUGAAUAGUUUUUAAGCUUUUUAAAUGUUGUAUCCAAGCACAAUUUGAAGUGUCAUCCUUUCCACUCUAAUGGUCAAAGCAUUUAUUUAGGUGAUACUGGCAACGUGUUUUCAAAAUAUUACAGCUGGAGACCGGACCGGGUUUGCUUUGAGCCCAUUUGUUUACAGGAUAGCAUAGCUAUCUGUAAUUGCACAUCUCACUGCAGUGAGCAUUUAGCACAUAGUCACUCAUUUGAGUCUGUUCUACAUGCAGCCUGCAGUUGCUUAAAAUUCCAUAGGGGGAAAAAAAGAAAAAGAAGGAGAGAAGCUGUAGCAGUAAUGUCUAUCUGUAAGGAGGUGUGCAGUCAGUUUUCUUUUCUUUUCAAAGCAACGGAGUUAAAACUUCUUAAUGGCAUCUCAGAAUCGUGGUGGUGUAUUUUCUUACUGCUCUGAUUAUUAGAAUAAACACAGGACCAGUCGUAAAUCAGUCCCUGUGUCUGAGAACGCUGUGAUUAUUUCUAGUCCAGUCGUGCCCAGAGGUGGAGAUCAGGAGAUGCAGUUUGCAGCUCCGGGCUCAUAGGAGAAAAGAGGAGAGGAUUCCUUCCUUUAAAAUCUGAACGAGAAGUUCAGGAAGUUGUGAAGCAACGUCCUGUCUCAUGUAAAGAAUUGAUCCGAAGUUGCCAUUUGCUUCUGAAUUUUUUAGUCGUUGUUAAAUAAUACCGAAUAAUCUUUUUUGGGUUUGUUUGUUUGUUUUUUUCAUCAUAGGGG